UUUUUUUUUGUUUUGUUUUGUUUUUUUGCUAAAUGUUUUAAUGGGGUUUUAUUACACAAAAGUUUCUUGGUGAAGGGCAUGGAUUUUUAAAAAGCAAUUACUAAAUUAUGAAUCAUCUGAUAAAUAUUUUAUGAUGACUAAAGUGAUCAAGUCAAAAUUGCAUUAUGCAUCAUGUAUUUUUAAAACAAACAUUUUAUUUCACUAUUUUCUACUCCUAAUCCAGUAAGACUUUGAGGAAAUAGUUAAGUGCUAAGGAAACAGAGGAAUGGAGGCAGAAAAGUACAAUCAAUGUUAAAAGACUUGGAUUGAAUCACUGAACAAGUCAGAGAUACAUUUUUCCUUUCCCUUUACACUUGUUCUUACACUUUCUUAACAUGGGUCACUGCUGUCACAUUAACCACUGUGGAUUAUGUGCUAUCAGCAGGCUGAAUUAAAUUUCUAUUAAACAUGCAUUUGGAGACUUGUGUCAUAUGUCUUCAGUUGCAGUUAGAAGUGUGCCUGUGUAAUUUGGGGUAGUAGGGAUCAAAAUGGCCCUGAAUGUGUUUUUAUUUUAGGUGGUGAAAUGUAGACAGAAUACGUAUUUGUUUAACAAGAUCUUAACAAAUUCUCAAAAUGCAAGAAUCACGUAGAAUAUCUGGAAGAGGAAUAUUAAUACUGAUACUCAAAAUAAACUGCUACAUGUUUUUCUCUACCCUGUCCUCUUCACAUUCAGAAAUCAGGAGGAGAUAAGCAGUCUACAAAUAUAGUCAUUUUUUGAUCGUUGACAAAAGAUAAUUUCAAAUUAAGCCAAGGUGUUCUUUUCUGACUCCUGUGGGACUUAGUUGACAUGUUGACUGACAUAUCACACUUUCGAACCUCUUUAGGAAACGAUGCUGUAGAGGAGGCUAGGCACUGAACACUGUGAAACAAUGUUUUUAAAAAGUGUGUCUAAAGAUCAAUAACAUCAGAAUUACUGGAGCAUUUACUAAACUAACAAUUUCUGGGUCCCAGACUAAACCUCUUCAAUCAGAUUUUCCAAGCCCAAAACCCAGCAACCUGCCUUUUAAUAGGCUCCAUAGUAAAUCACAUGGUAGGGAAUUACUGACUUGGUAGAGGCUAAUUUAUAACACUCAUUCAGUUCAUUCCCUUAGAGGAGUUAAAAAAAAGGAAAAGAUUAAAAGAAACCAUUCAAGCUAUUUUCAAAAGCAUUAGACGACCAGUGUCCAACGUAGCAAGAGCCUAAACAAUCUAACUAGAAUACAAAUGUAAAGUAAGGCAACCUUUUCUAUAAAAAAUUGUUAAAAACUUAUGCCUCCUGGUAUAAAACAUAUUGGUGAGAAGUAAAAAAGAAUUGAGAAUGAAAAAGUUAGUAAAAAAAUUUAAAAAACCUGAUCACUUAUACGAGUAAUCUCAUAUAAGAGAUAACUUCUCUGACAGUUUUAUAAGUUUUGCUUUGUAAAGAUCAUGAGUCUACAGGAAUGUCUUUUAAAAAUUUUGUACUUUUAAAUUUUGCUUCCUGUAUUUUUAAUCUAAAAUUCUAGCUGUGAAAAUAAUUAAUUUUUUAAUUGGGAAAAUUCACCAGAUUAUAUCUUGAGUUAGGAUAACACAAAUACUUAGACUGAGUUAGGAUAAAUAUAAAUAUUGUGUAUAAACAAGAACAAAGUGGUAUGAGGGGGAGUGAGAGAGAGAAAGAGAGAGAGAGAGAAGGAGGUAGAAAUACAGAUGAAAGUAGAUGAGUAAAUUUUCUUGGAAAUGUACUUCACAUCUACCAGGCAGGAGAUUACAGAGUAACAUUUUCCAAGAAUAAAACAGUCCUCUUAUGUAUUUUUUCCAUAUUACACAAAGACAUUAUGUAAAGAAAAACAGUACCUGUAUGCCUUUGAGAUGGGGGUAGCCAGAAAACAAUUAAGAGAAUAAAACAUUCCACUGGCCCUAAGCACUGACUAUAAUAAAAUCCUGGCCCUUGUGGAUUUAACAUUCAUGGUUUUGACUCUUGUAGAGUGACCUGGGUCCCUGGCAUGCUGUAAUCUGUAAUUUUGAUGAGGCACAAUUUGAAUUACAUGGUUUGAAAGGACAUGAUGACACAGGAAGUCCUGCAGUCUGUCAGGGCACCUGGGCAGUGGCCUGCCAGUAGAGAUGUGACCACUGUUACACAUGUGCAAUAAGGUUAUAUGCCAUCUCCGUUACCACCCAAAAGUUAGCUUUUAGAACUGGUGAUAGAAGUGCAGAAAAAGUCAAAAAGUCAAAGAAAUAGAUAUUUUUGAGAAAGUAGAAUUUUAAAAUUUAAUAAUGGUAUAUCAUUGAUAAAAAGAAACUCAUAAACUGAGUUUAUGCUCCACAUGAAAGAGCAUAGCAUAAUGGCUAAGCACCUGGACUUUGGAACUAGACUUUCUGCAUUUUAAUCAAAUGGAUUCCUGGUAAAGUCCCAGCAGGACCUAUCUCAGUUUCCUCAUCUGUAAAAUGAGGAUAAUUACAGUGUUGCUCUUGAAGAUUCAUCAGGAAGGUUGAAAUUCUAAGUAUUUAUAAAGGGCUUACUUUAUUAAAUCAAUGUUUGUCUAAAUAAAUUCAAUAAAAUUGGCAUGACUGUUGCAGGGCAUGUACCAGCCAGGAGAGAGAGCUCAUCCAGUGAAAAAGUCUUACCAACAUUGGUAAAAACUGUUUGCAUAAAAUGUGUACCUGGAUGGAAAUAUGACCUUCAGGGAAGCCAGUCAUGGAUAAAGAAUACUGCUUUGUGAUUUUGGAAUUUCUUUUACAAGAAGCAUUCUGAGGAGUAAACAUCCAUUUUAUUGAGCUGAUAAAGAUAAUAAAUGAUUUCAAUGGGGGACAGCUUUAUAUGAAUAUGGAAAUGACUUCAUCAAAUGCUCAACUUAUUUUAAAAAAUGGGAUAUAUUUGCCUGAAGAUUCAUAGAAGCUUUAUUUUCCUGUAGUAAUAUCAUCUAUGGGACAGGCAUAUUGUCUUCAUCUUCCUUUUUUGGUUUGUCGAGUG
rnacentral:lncRNA from 1 species